CACACGCUCUUGGCAGGGAGGGGGAGAGAAGCUGACCUGGGUGGUAACUGGGCUUCCCAGGGAAGGAGGGCAAGGAGCAAUUAAUGAUAUUUCUGUCUCAUGGUGAAGAAAACAUGGACUAGAAAGCCACCCAGUGGGCAUGGAAUGGAUCAGGCAGCCUAAUGAAACCAGCAGUUAAUGACCUAAGGAGAAGAACUAAAACCAGCCCACUGCUCCACGGAGGCACUUAAUUUUUUCACGGGCCAUCCUACGCCGAGUGUUUUCUCGAAGAGUUUGGUGCUGGUUGAUGCACAGGACUGGCUGCAGGACCAAGGACCACCACAAGCCGAGGAUCAGCUCCUAUUGGGAGGUAUCAGCGUGGUGACGGCGAUGGCCUUGCUCAGACCCAAUGCACCGAGGAUGACUUCUAACACUGAUUAUGGCCUUUUUGCUGCCAAAUGAACCAGAAAAUCCCUCCCAGGGGCAGAGUUGUGCCACAGCCUCCCUUCUCCAAGGACAUGGGAUGUUAACAGAAACGUGGUGUGACCGGCAGAGCUCAGCACUGAGAUGGAAGGACUUGGUGAUGUCUUCAGAUGCACAAGGUCUUUAGCUGCUGUCACAGUGGAUUUUGGGAGGUGGGGAAGCCCCUGUGUGUCACCCUGACGCUCAGGGCUGGCUGUCCUGCAGGGCAUAGUGUCCCCAUGGCAGAGGCUCCACUGCAGAACAUUGCUUUGCUCAUGGGCAUUGCAGCAACGCACCCUGGGGCUCUGCCCUGUUCAGGGUCGUAGCGAAUAAAAAAAUGAAGCAGCCAAUGUGCAUCUUAACCAGGGAGAGCUGUGGAGGCAGGGGAGAAGGAAGGGCACAAUCAGUCCAAAAGAUGCUUUGAAAGGGAGAAAAACUUGCUGCCAGGCUUCCUUUGGAGAGCAGUUCCUCUCUUCCUUUUUCUCCCUUUCUCUUUCGGUGCUGUGCUGUUCCUCCAUGGCCAGAAGGCUGCAGGCAUUUCAGAUCUCUUCUUCAGGUCCUUGUUUCAUUAAAGAAAAAGAAAAAAAAAAAGGCCUGCAGAAUGUUUUCUUCUAAAGCUCAGCAAAUGGGAAGUGCACAAUGCAGCUGUCUCUAAGCCUCUCUUCUCCUGUCUCAGGGAGAAAGGAAU